rnacentral:rRNA from 1 species
UACAGAGGGUGCAAGCGUUGUUCGGAAUUAUUGGGCGUAAAGGGCGCGUAGGCGGUUCGGCAAGUCUCUAGUGAAAUCUCUGGGCUCAACUCAGAGUCUGCUGGGGAAACUGCCGGGCUUGAGUGUGGGAGAGGAGAGUGGAAUUCCCGGUGAUAGCGGUGAAAUGCGUAGAUAUCGGGGAGGAACACCUGUGGCGAAAGCGGCUCUCUGGACCACAACUGGACGCUGAGG